GAUGAACGCUGGCGGCGUGCCUAAUACAUGCAAGUCGAGCGGACAGAUGAGUAGCUUGCUACUCGGACGUUAACGGCGGAAGGGUGAGUAACAUGAGCAGAACCUACCUAUAAGACAGGUUUAACUUCGGGAAACCGGUGCUGAUACCGGAUACUAUAUGGAACGGCAUGGUUGGAUAGUGACAGAGGGUUUGGCUGGCACUGAUAGAUGGAUCCGCGCCGCAUUAGCUAGUUGGUAAGGUAACGGCUUACUAAGGCAGCGAUGGGUAGCCGACCUGAGAAGGUGAACGGCGCCAGUGGAACUGAGACACGGUCCAGACUCCUAGGGGAGGCAGAGAUAGCGACUCUUCGGAGAAGGGCGGAAUCCUGCCGGAGCAGCGCCGCGUGGGUGAUGAAGGUCUGCGGAUCGUAUAACUCUGUUCUGAGUGAAGACCGAUUGUGUAAGUAGCUAUGCACGUGUUGACGGUACCUGCUCAGAAAGCCACGGCUAACUACGUG
rnacentral:rRNA from 1 species